CGGAUACUUAAGUGGGAUGUGAAAUACCCGAGCUUAACUUGGGUGCUGCAUUCCAAACUGGGUAUCUAGAGUGCAGGAGAGGAGAAUGGAAUUCCUAGUGUAGCGGUGAAAUGCGUAGAGAUUAGGAAGAACACCAGUGGCGAAGGCGAUUCUCUGGACUGUAACUGACGCUGAGGCUCGAAAGCGUGGGGAGCAAACAGGGGGGAGCAAACAGGU
rnacentral:rRNA from 1 species